CCUACGGGUGGCAGCAGUGAGGAAUAUUGGUCAAUGGACGUAAGCCUGAACCAGCCAAGUCGCGUGAGGGAUGAAGGUUCUAUGGAUUGUAAACCUCUUUUAUAAGGGAAUAAAGUGUGGGACGUGUCCCAUUUUGUAUGUACCUUAUGAAUAAGGAUCGGCUAACUCCGUGCCAGCAGCCGCGGUAAUACGGAGGAUCCGAGCGUUAUCCGGAUUUAUUGGGUUUAAAGGGUGCGUAGGCGGCCUGUUAAGUCAGCGGUGAAAGCCUGUGGCUCAACCAUAGAAUUGCCGUUGAAACUGGUGGGCUUGAGUAUAGUUGCGGCAGGCGGAAUGCAUGGUGUAGCGGUGAAAUGCUUAGAUAUCACGCAGAACCCCGAUUGCGAAGGCAGCCUGCCAAACCAUGACUGACGCUGAUGCACGAAAGCGUGGGGAGCAAACAGGAUUAGAUACCCGUGUAGUC
rnacentral:rRNA from 1 species